rnacentral:rRNA from 1 species
UGGGGAAUAUUGGGCAAUGGGCGCAAGCCUGACCCAGCAACGCCGCGUGAGGGAAGAAGGUUUUCGGAUUGUAAACCUCUGUCGCAGAAGACGAAGGAAGUGACGGUAAUCUGUGAGGAAGCCCCGGCUAACUACGUGCCAGCAGCCGCGGUAAUACGUAGGGGGCGAGCGUUGUCCGGAAUUACUGGGCGUAAAGGGAGCGUAGGCGGUUAAUUAAGUAGGAUGUGAAAUCCCCGGGCUCAACCUGGGAACAGCAUACUAAACUGGUGGACUAGAGUAUUGCAGGGGGAGACGGAAUUCCAGGUGUAGCGGUGGAAUGCGUAGAUAUCUGGAAGAACACCAAAGGCGAAGGCAGUCUCCUGGGCAAAUACUGACGCUCAUAUGCGAAAGCGUGGGUAGCAAACAGGAUUAGAUACCCUGGUAGU